rnacentral:rRNA from 1 species
AUUGAACGCUGGCGGAAUGCUUUACACAUGCAAGGCGAACGGUAGAGGGGGCAACCCCUCGAGAGUGGCGAACGGGUGAGUAAUAUAUCGGAUCGUGCCCAGUCGUGGGGGAUAACGUAGCGAAAGUUACGCUAAUACCGAAUAGGAUCUAAGGAUGAAAGAGGGGGAUCGCAAGACCUCGCUCGAUUGGAGCGGCCGAUAUCGGAUUAGGUAGUUGGUGGGGUAAAGGCUAACCAAGGCAACGAUCUGUAGCUGGUCUGAGACGACGACCAGCCACACUGGAACUGAGACACGGUCCAGACUCCUACGGGAGGCAGCAGUGGGGAAUUUUGGACAAUGGACGCAAGUCUGAUCCAGCCAUUCCGCGUGCAGGAUGAAGGCCCUCGGGUUGUAAACUGCUUUUGUACGGAACGAAAAGGUCUCUCUUAAUACGAGGGGCUCAUGACGGUACCGUAAGAAUAAGCACCGGCUAACUACGUGCCAGCAGCCGCGGUAA